AGCUUUCAAGAGAGACACUGCAAACAACCACAUCUAUUCACAGAGGGAGAGUGACAUUUCUUCUUUCUUUGAGGGACAAGUGCCUGCCUCGUUACUUUCUGCCCCUGACAUUGUAGCUGCUGGUGAAUGUGUGGAGACAGGAAGUGCUUACUUGGCACACAGGUCCUGUGACUAGUGCUAUUGUCCAGCUGGAUGGAUGAUUCUCUUUCAGCCUCUCCAAGACACCCUGAGUUCCUUUGCUCUCCUGUCUCUCUCACCAUCUGAUGUUCUGUAUCUUUUGGGAACUCUCCCACCAAGAAACCAAUCACCAGAUGCAGCCUGACACUGGAUGAGAACUAUGAAGAAAUUGAAGCUUAUAGAAACUAGCUGGGCAUACCUGUCUGGUGUUUUGCUUCAGGACCAGUUUUGCUCUUGAUUAUUGCAUGAUGGGAUAGAUGGACUGUUUGAGAUCUGUAAGCAUUCUAGAGUGCACUUGAUGAGGAAGUGAGUAUCUGUCACUGUACUAUGUAGCUUAUUUGACCAUCUGUCAAGGUCAUGUAUCAGAGAAGACUGGAAAAGACUUGGAUGAGAAACCUCUAAUGUCUUCUCUCAACUUUAAAACUUUAAUUUAUUGUCUAGACACAUGCUGAGGUGACAGAAUGAUAUGGUCCUUCCCCUUUCUUGGUAUUUUCCUUGUUUUCUUUUCCUUUAAAGCAGAUGGUUUUUAUGGUGCUGACUGCCUCAGGAGAAAGACACUCAGCAAUCAGAAAUCUUCCUUCCUUCAGCUUUUCUGUUGCAAAAUGUCAGUACUUUCAAGGGAAAACGGGGAGCUUAUGGCAUAGACAAAACAUGCAAGCAGAAGAUCAAAGCAGUUUCUGGACAAAUAUGAUAAUGUACUUGGACUUUUGAGAAAAUACUGCUGACCUUGAGUUCAAUGAAUGGAGCAUGGAGAACUUAGUGUCGAGCAAGGUGCCUCCCACUCUAGGGAAAGAAGCACCUUACUAGUUAAGUAAGUCACAUGGAGGAAAGCUGAUUUGAAAACGAGGUGAGGGUCUUGAGAAUACAAAACAUAUCUGUUCAGAUAAAACCCUGGGAGACAUUAAAUCUCAGCAUGACAUGGUCUGGUGGGACUAUCCAGGGCACACAGGGAGAAUGAGUAUCAGAAAAUGCCAGGGUACAAGAGACAUUCCCUACUUGGUUGUUUUGUCUCAAGAUAGAAAUUAUUCAAAAGGUGAUAAUAAUGGCUCAGAAUUUUAUUCUGAGACCUGAAGGCUAAUCAAGCCACUGUUUGAAGAUUUCAUUUCACCUUGUCACCUUGCUUAUUUCCUGCCAUCUCCCAUUAAUUGAAAUCUAAACACACUUUGCUCCAAUGAGGAUUGUUUAAGGUAAAUGUUUUGAAUAGUCCAACUCUGUCCUUCAUAGGGUUAACUUGCUCAUUUUGAGAGAUCAUCCUCAUCUAUUCCCAUCAAUUAUUUUAAACACCCAAAAGAGCACCAAACAAACUAACAAAAGCAAAAUCCUCAAGAAAUACUUUCUUAUUUUUGAGUCUGAUAUGAAUGGAUCUCUUCUGUCUCCCUGGAGAAUGGAGAAAUGGUAGGUACCAUCAUUCCAAUCCCCUUUCUAAUGCCAUUCUUUACCCAUAGCUUGGACAGAUAGUAUCAUAGCAAGUGGGCUUCUUCUGAAGCAGUAUUAUAGAGUGAGAGAUUUAAGAGGAAAGGGCCUGUGAAUGAUAGAGAACAAGUAAGAGAGACAGGCAGGGGGAAGUUCACUUUAAAAGAGCAGUUUGAUGCUUCAUCGAGGAGAGACAGAAUGAGGGUUAGGUGGAGGGAUUCUGGAAUUCUCUGAAGUUCUGAACAAAGGUUGAGCAUGAGGCUCAGCAAAGGCAGAGUGUUGGGCUUCCUGACGAAGAAAAUAGCCCUUCGAACAGCAUCACUGUGCUCAGUGAUAAGCUUGGCGCAGCCCGGGAGAGGAUAUUGACAGGAGGUUGGGCUUGGUCCUGAGGGACCUGUAACUGCAGGAUAUCCACCAGAAGACUUCCUCAAAUCAGGUGCUGUUCUUGGAAGAGGAUUGGAGUGGUACACCACCAUGGCUUUCAAAGUUACCGCUGUUUACUUUUAAGCUAUAAUUCUUAUGUUUUUAUGGAUAUUGAUUUAGACUGGUUUCAUAAUUUCUCAAGAUGAAAAAUUGUAAAAUGGUUUGGGAAGAGAAAUAUAAAUAAGACUUGCCUGACUUAAAUUAUC
rnacentral:lncRNA from 1 species